UGUUUCUACCGAGUCGGGUAGCUUGAGAAUGCUGCUCUAAGUGGUGGUAAACCUCAUCAAAGUCUAAAUACUGGUGGAAGACCGAUAGUGAACAAGUACCGUGAGGGAAAGAUGGAAAGCACUUUGAAAAGAGGGUGAAAAGCACCUGAAACCGUCACGGGGGAAGCGGAUUGCGUGAGUGUGGUCUAGUGUCUGUUCAGCCUUAAGUUUACUUUUGGUGUAUUCAGCGCUAGCCGUGCUAGAGUGGCUGCUCUGACGCUGGAUGAUGCAGUGUUGAGUGGUGAGGGCUCCCUUCGGGUUGAGGACUCUGGCAAAAUGACGCGACCCGACCCGUCUUGAAACACGGACCAAGGAGUCUAGCACGACUGCGAGUCGAAGGGUGAUUUAAACCUAUUGGGCGCAGUGAAAGCAAAGCAUUUGAAAAUCUGAUACAGAUUGGGGAGGUGUGGCGUCGUUGACAAUAUAUCCUACCCUGAGCAGUUGUGCUGGGACCCGAAAGAUGGUGAACUAUGCCGGAAUAGGGCAAAGCCAGAGGAAACUCUGGUGGAGGCUCGUAGCGAUGCUGACGUGCAAAUCGCUCGUCGAAUUUGGGUAUAGGGGCGAAAGACUAAUCGAACCAUCUAGUAGCUGGUUCCCUCCGAAGUUUCUCUCAGGAUAGCGGGCCGAUGAUGUGGGUUGUUUUGUGUGGUAAAGCGAAUGAUUAGCGUAUUUGGGGGUGUAAUGCCUCCAGUCGAUUCUCAAACUUUAAAUACGCAAGAAAGAGGUUGGUUGCUUGAGUGAACCCCUCUCUGAAAACAUCGGCCCUGUGGGCCACUUUUGGUAAGCAGAACUGGCGAUACGGGAUGAACCGUAAGCGUGGUUAAGGCGUCAAAUUCUCCGCUUAGAGACCCCACAAAAGGUGUUGGUUCAUCCAGACAGCAGGACGGUGGCCAUGAAGUCGAAUCCGCAAGGAGGCCGGGGCCAUGGAAGUCGGAAUCCGCUAAGGAGUGUGUAACAACUCACCUGCCGAAUGAACUAGCCCUGAAAAUGGAUGACGCUAAAGCCGAGAGCCGACACCGCGCCGUUUGGGUAAAAAGCGACCUAAAUGAGUAGGAGGGCGUGGCGGUCUUGUGAGGAAGGUCGAGACGCGAGUCUGACUGAAACGGCCGCUAGUGCAGAUCUUGGUGGUAGUAGCAAAUAUUUAAGCGAGAUCCUUAAAGGGCGAAGCGGGGAAGGGUUCCACGCGAACAUUGAUUGGGCGUGGGUGAGUCGUUCCUAAGCCGGGUGGUAAUCGUUCUUCGAAGCGGCGAAAGGGAAGCUGGUUAAAAUUCCGGCACACGGAUGUGGAAGCGGCGACGCAAGUUGAGGUGACGACAUCAGCGGUAGCACUAGGCAGAGUUUUCUUUUCUGUUUAACCUGAGAGAUGCACUGUGUGGAAUCCAAUUAUUGGGAGAAACACGCGCCGAAGGGAAGAGCGUCGGGAUGUUCCCGGCGUCUAGUACGCUACCGAUGGUCCUUGAAAAGUCAUCUGCAAUUAAAUUUCACGCCGUGGCGUACCGAUAACCGCAUCAGGUCCCCAAGGUGAACAGCCUCUGCUCAAUAUGAACAAUGCAGGUAAGGGAAGUCGGCAAAAUAGACCCGUAACUUUGGGAAAAGGGUUGGCUCUAGUGGAGUGGGGGAUUUUAAAAUGGGGUUCAAGGUUCUGGGCUAUCGGCGGCUGGUGGUGGCUAGUCAUCGCAAGGUGUAUUGGCUGCUCUGGCUGCCUUUGGUUUGGGGCUUUGGGUUCCGCCUUCAGCAUGCUCCAGACUAGAACUGCAACGGGCAAAGGGAAUCCGACUGUUUAAUUAAAACAAAGCAUUGCGAUGGCCGAGGUCGGUGUAGACGCAAUGUGAUUUGCAACGGGCCAAGGGAAUCCGACUGUUUAAUUAAAACAAAGCAUUGCGAUGGCCGAGGUCGGUGUAGACGCAAUGUGAUUUCUGCUCAGUGCUCUGAAUGUCAAAGUGAAGAGAUUCAAACAAGCGCGGGUAAACAGCGGGAGUAACUAUGACUCUCUUAAGGUAGCCAAAUGCCUCGUCAUCUAAUUAGUGACGCGCAUGAAUGGAUUAACGAGAUUCCUACUGUCCCUAUCUGCUUCUAGCGAAACCACAGCCGAGGGAACGGGCUCGGCGAAAUCGGCGGGGAAAGAAGACCCUGUUGAGCUUGACUCUAUUCUAAUUUUGUGACGCAAGUUAGGAGGUGUAGCAUAGGUGGGAGCUUUCGGGCGCCAAUGAAAUACCACUACUCUUAAUCUUGUUUUACUUAUGGCGUGAGACUGCGCGACCUAUAUGGUUUUUUUUGGCAUCAACUUGGAGUCUGGCGCCCGCAAGGGUUAGCCACCGAGGAGCAGCGCGCCUGACACAUUUAGGAGGGGAGUUUGGCUGGGGCGGCACAUCUUCUACAAGACAACGAAGGUGUCCAAAGAUGAGCUCAGUGAGAACAGAAAUCUCACGUAGCGCAAAAGGGUAAAAGCUUGUUUGAUUUUGAUUUUCAGUGUGAGUUGAAAACACGAAAGUGUGGCCUAUCGAUCCUUUCACAAUUCGAGGUUUGAAGCGAGA
rnacentral:rRNA from 1 species